GGGAGAUUUCCUGGGCCAGAUCCCCCCAUCGCUCGGAGAGAAUCCCUGGCCAACCGCCUCCAGCGCAGCGCCCCCUCUCCUUUUUCUUUUUUUUCUUUUCCUUUUUUCCUUCCUUCUUCUUCCUCUUUCCUUUCUUUCUCCCGUGCCUCUUUCCUUUCCCAGCGCAUCCAUGGCGCCACCCCUGCUCGCCGGGAUCCUCCCCGAUUCGGCUCCCCUUCCUUCCCCGAGCCCCCUCGCCC
rnacentral:lncRNA from 1 species